CCGGCGCUGAGGGCGCGGGCCCGGCUGUGCGUGGGCAGGGCGCGGCGGGGGGCGAGGCCUGCUGAGCAAACUGCUUCCCUGUCAGCGCGGUGCCGUUCCCACCCCAGUUCUCGUGUGAAACAGUUGUGAGUAGGUCCACAUCGCUCCUGGAAAUACACUGCUGAGGUAUUCAGCAAAAAGCAGAGCAUCCAACCUAAUUCUUCUCUCCUCUGAAUGUUUCUGUUCUCUUAUGCUGCCUAAAUGAGACAGGUGGAAGACAGCUUUAAUUAGGACUUGGCCAUAAAGCACCAGGAUGUUAUCAACAAGAUCACAUGCAAAGCAUACUAGAAAUCAGAGUCCUUGAGCUACUGGCACCAUGCAUUCCUGCUGUGAGACAUCCACCAUCCACAUCCUCUCAGUUUACAUGGAAAAGAUGAGCGCUAUUUCAUUCUUUACCUUGGAAACUGGACUCAGGACACCUUACCCCUCUGAGCAAGAGGUGCUGGGCUGGUGCCAAGCCCAGGGAAAGCCAGCAAAGUCCCUGCGAGCAGCAGCAAAGCUGAAAGUUGUCUCGGAGGAAAUUGCUAGACCAAGACAGGGAUUUGUUCCUGCUUUAUGUUCGUGUUCAGCCUGGGAAGCUGAAGUCUUCCAAGGAAGCAACCAAGUAUCAGCAAGCAGAUUCUGUUCCUUACUCCUGAGAAGCUAAAUCCAAAGAAAGAAAGACAAGAUUUUCUUCUGAGAUGUGGUGUGACUACAGGUUCUGCUAUUUGUUUAUGUUGUUCCACCAGUUUACAUAGUCACAGCUGCUUAUUUAGUACAUAGGUAAUCCUGUAGCAAAAUAAUGUUAACACAGUCAUUCUUAUGACACUUCUGGGUCUGGUAUUAAGGAUACCAACAGAGGAGUGAGGGUAUCCCCGUGCUUCUUGGUCUUUGCCUGCCACUGAGCUCCACAGUGCCAGAAGAGUUCAGCUGCCUUAGGUGAUGACAAUAAGGAAAGAACAUUUACUGCAGGUUGUAGGUACUCAUCUAAGCACUAUGUGGUGUGCUGUAAUUGCAGGCUGCAUUAGGUCAUGCUUUGUCACAAGGCUUAUUCCAAACAGAAGUCGCUUCCAUUGGAUUGUCCUUGCAGCAGCAACGUAAAUGAACAAGCUUGGGCAGCUUUGCCAGAAAUGUCUAAAACUAAAUAAUUAGUCAACAGCCAUUCAUGCAGCAUAUGACAGAAGUGCUAUUAUUGUCAGGGAGAGUACGGAGCCUGUGAGUACAACUCACCACUCAAUCUGAACAGUUAGUUGAACAUAACACGCUUGUAAUAAUAUUUAAAGCUUAAUAUCUGAUGCGUGUAUGAGAGUCCAAAUUCACAUGACAUACAAGAAAAAAACAACGACUAGUACAUGAGAGACAUGAAUUCCUUUUAAGUUAGCUAAGGAAAUUGGCAGGUAGUUCUUAAGAACUUGAUUGUAUACAAAUCCCUUUCUGCUGCUGGAAAUCCAGCAGCAAUGUUCAAACUUUAGGCAAAAGAGCUCACAAGCUGCCUACAGACCUGUAGUCCUCAGGUAAUAAAGGAGGGGGAAAGAGCCCUCACUUAUUCCAAGUGCUCUGCAGCAUUUUGAGAAGAAAAACGAAUGUGAAUCCUAAGGAUAGUGGGCCACAGUGCUGAUACAGCAUGCCCUACAGAAGUAAGUUGGGUGCAAGGCCAUGAUGAUGCAGCUACGCUGUCAUGGGUUCCAGACACACUCCCUUUGCAGUUAGCUGAGACAGUUAGCUGGACUGUUUUCCACUGCCCAGUGUACAAAAUGCCCAAUGUUUGUAUAGCCCUUAGCAAAAUAGGACCCUAUUCUUGAUUGGCCUCAAAACAGCACAGUGAUUCUAAUUAUAAAUACCAGGGAAAUAAAUGAUCACAGAAGGCAUUUGAUGUAUUUUUUCCAGCAUGCAACAGCAGUACCAAUACGUACAAGAGCACAAUGCAAUCAGAUUCUGAUGUAUGCAAUAUAUUUUUAACACAAUGGACUUCAUCCAGACUUUUCUGGCACCAUCUUCUAUUGUCUUUCAUCACUUUGCAGUGAAGUCAUGUAGGGUACUCCAGACUUGAGGUGGCUGUGGUCUAGUGCUGAGAUUAAUGCUGAAUAAAAAUCAAGUUAGUUAGUAGAGCUUAAAUAACUGUUAGGCAAAUGAAUAUUUGUUUGUGUAAAGAAACAACUGCUGAAUAGAUGAAGUAAGUCAUUUUUGUCUCUGUCUUCCUAUAGUGUGCUGCAAAAUAAAUGCAGAUCUGAGAGAGAGACCCACUUCUGCUGCUGCCCACUCCUUUCUACUUUAAUAUUGUAAAUAAAUGAUUUGGAAAAAAACAAUAUCAUAAAAUAAUAAUAAUUAGAAUUCCACUGAUGUCCCUUUUAUGAUAAUAUAUUUGAGUUGUUCUUCAAAAAUCAAAUGAAGAAACUUCAGCCACAGUAGAGGUCUUAACCAAAAUUAAAGUCUUGUACUGAAAAUAUCAGCAUUUCUUAUGAGCUCACCUGGAGGGAGAUUAUGGGGCAACAAGUAAUGAGAUGGGUAAAGGACUGCUAUUCUUACUUCAUUUGGCCAAGAUCUACUCAACAUCUUGGAUUGUCCUCGUUUUUGUUGUGUAUUAAAAUGGUGCUAAGUGAGCUCAAGCAGGGCUUGGUGUUACAGACACUGUGAGACUGUCUCCUGGCAUUUUACAGUCAGAGGAGGAGUAGAGAGAAAGGAAUGAACUGGAGAGAACUUUUACAAUGCUCAUAAAACUGAUGUUAGAUCUGUGGGUGGCAUUUGCUGACAGCAUAGUCUGAAGGGACAAACAAACCAAAGGCAGAAGUGGUGAGGAAGGGAAAUGAAGAGAAAAAAAAGAGCAAGGAUGGAAAGAAGGAAACACAUGGUAGGCAAUGAAGUAAAGGUGAAGUGGCUGUGAAUAGCUAAUCACUGAAAAGAAAACAGUGUUGAAAGUAGAAGUACAUGGGAAAAAGCAGCACACAGAUAGAAUCAGUGAGUUGCUGAUAAUUCUUAGUCAAGCUGCUUUGGUUGCUUCACAUGCCAGCCUUGAGCUUCAGGCAGAAGAACAAUUGACUGUUACGACAGUCUGGAUUUAGUUCAAGGUGAAUUACGUGUGCAAUUUCAGGAUAAUUUAUCUUCGCCUGCCUUAAAAUCCAAAAGAAAGACACCGCCAACUUUUGUUCUAGCUUAACUAUUAAUUCUAUUGAUAAAAUUUUGUUAGUCAUCUUCAGAUUUAAAAAAAAAUCCAUGCAGUCAUAGUUAGAAUUCUAUGUAUAUAGAUACGAUUUACUAGGCACUCUUCUGACACAGGGAAAAUGAUACCAUUCCCCUAAACAUCAAAGAGAUUAAGACAGACAGCUCUUGGCAGAGGCCAACAGAAGGAGCAGCAAAGUAGGAGUAAGAUUUUUUCUCGGAUAACUGUGCCAGGAAGGAAAUCUUUCAGUGUUAAAGUUCAUAGAUUUGGUGAGCUUGCAAAGGGGGCUACAUGGGAAGAUGUUGUUUGACAUCGUAAGCCUCUUGUCUGGACCUACUAACACAUUCUCCUCCCUGGAGUUGAAGAAUCCAGGUCACCUUGUAAGUAGGCAAACUGCUGCUGCAGAAGUUUCUCCUUAGGUCGUUACAUCAGUAUCUCACCUUUUGCUUGCCAAGCUUGUUUAGUACCGCGGCAGGAGUCUUCUGAAAGAGAUUGCUGUGCAUCUUUGAGGACAAUGUUAAAAUUAAGCAAAUGAUGCCAGAGGUUUGUGUUUUGCUCUCUGCUGCCAUGAAUGAUCAGCAUGGGCAUAUGAUAAAGGGUAACCACUUAUUUGUGUGAGUGACUGAAAGCAGUUUUGCCAACGGGGAUGUUUGGAACAGCAUUUAAUCUGAAAAGAUAAUUAAUGUCUUCUUUGUUGUGCAACAGAAGCCUAUGGAAAGAGAAUCAUAUUGCAUCAUAUCUCUCAAUAACAUACAACUGGGUGGCUGAAAUUGGGUUUAACUAGACAGACAAAAAUAACUUCGGGAGGAGCAGAGAAAGGUUAUGGGUCAUGUGAUGCUGAUUUGUUUGUUUAAAGUUGACCUAUCCCUGGAGCAGAGAGUUUAAUGGGUUCCAGUAAGGACUUGCACCCAGCAUGCAGAGCUGCAAUUACUGUGGGAUGGUUCGAAGUCUGUGUGUGUGUGUGAGGCCUGGGUCAUGUCUGUUCGUGGGGGCAGCAGUAGCUUUCGCAGAGACUACAGAUCAGACUUCCUGAGCAUCCUUCCACUGCCCUGUGAUUGACAAUCAAUAAAAAGAGACAUGAGAUACACUGGGUGAAAAACAGGGCAUCUGAGAUUUCACUGAAGUUGUUCAAACUUGCAAGUAGAAAAAGAAAAGGAGUUUGUUGGCUAAGACAUUCUGAAUACUUUUCUCAUUUGUAUAAACCUGUAUGUAUAAACCUGUAAAUAAAGGUUAUGUUUCCCUUAAA
ensembl:lncRNA